rnacentral:miRNA from 1 species
AAUAUGUCAACUUUUCCAGUGA